CAGCAGCCGCGGUAAUACGUAGGUGGCAAGCGUUGUCCGGAAUUAUUGGGCGUAAAGGGCUCGCAGGCGGUUUCUUAAGUCUGAUGUGAAAGCCCCCGGCUCAACCGGGGAGGGUCAUUGGAAACUGGGAAACUUGAGUGCAGAAGAGGAGAGUGGAAUUCCACGUGUAGCGGUGAAAUGCGUAGAGAUGUGGAGGAACACCAGUGGCGAAGGCGACUCUCUGGUCUGUAACUGACGCUGAGGAGCGAAAGCGUGGGGAGCGAACAGGAUUAGAUACCCGAGUAGUCCCUGUCUCUUAUAC
rnacentral:rRNA from 1 species